rnacentral:rRNA from 1 species
CUACGGGCCGCAGCAGUAGGGAAUAUUGGGCAAUGGACGAAAGUCUGACCCAGCCAUGCCGCGUGCAGGAUGACAGCCCUCUGGGUUGUAAACUGCUUUUAUAUAGGAAGAAACCCUUGGAUGCGUCCGAGGCUGACGGUACUAUAUGAAUAAGGAUCGGCUAACUGCGUGCCAGCAGCCGCGGUAAGACGAAGGAUCCAAGCGUUGUCCGGAUUUACUGGGUUUAAAGGGUGCGUAGGCGGACCUUUAAGUCAGUGGUGAAAUCCCGCAGCUCAACUGCGGAACUGCCAUUGAAACUGAAGGUCUUGAAUAUGGUUGAGGUAGAUGGAAUAUAACAUGUAGCGGUGAAAUGCUUAGAUAUGUUAUAGAACACCGAUUGCGAAGGCAGUCUGCUAAGCCAUCAUUGACGCUGAGGCACGAAAGCGUGGGGAGCAAACAGGAUUAGAUACCCCUGUAGUC